ensembl:lncRNA
CUUGAUUCUUCUACAGAUAUGUAAUCAAUAGAAGUCAUAAACUGUAUUCUCUCAUAAACAUGCAGUAGAAUCCUUAAACAUUUUUACAGAGGGCUGAUUUAAAUAAUUGUAAGGGUGGUUAUUAAAAGACAAUCAAUAGUAUAAAAAAGCAUUCUGUGAUUGUUACCAUUUUCAUUAAUACAUUUUUAAAUAAAAUUAUUAUCUUUCAGAGUGCAUAGUUUUUAUAUAUUUUUAUUUCUAUAAUGCUAUUUAAUAGAAUCUCACUAUGAACUAACAUGUGCAUUUAUUCCUUCAGGGCAAUUUAUUAGAUAUGGAUCUUAUUUGAAUUUUAUCUAGAGCCACUGUAUACAGAAAAUACUUUAAAAAGACAUUAAAUCUAUUAACCUAUUGUGGGAAUUUCUGUUGUUCUCUCAGUUGUGGUGCUUUCUGUUGUUGUGGUACCUGAGGUGGUGCUUUCAGUAGUUGUGGUUUCCAAUGUUGUACUUUCUGAAGUUCUGGUGGUGCUUUCUGUUGUUGUACUUUCUGGAGUGGUUGUGCCAGUGGUUGUACUUUCUGUCACUGUGGUGCUUUCAGUAGUUGUGGUACCUGAGGUGGUGCUUUGUGUUGUUGUAGUGUCUGUUGUGGUGCUUUCUGGUGUUAUGGUACCUGUGGUGGUGCUUUUUGGUGUUGUAGUGUCUGUUGUGGUCUCGGUUGUUGUGCUUUCUGCUGUUGAAGUGUCUGUUGUGAUGCUUUCUGGUGUUGUGGUCUCUGUUGUGGUUUCGGUUGUUGUGCUUUCUGGUGUUGUGGUACCUGUAGUGGUACUUUCUGGUGUUGUAGUGUCUGUAGUGGUCUCGGUUGUGGUGCUUUCUGAUGUUGUCAUACCUGUGGUAGUGCUUUCUGUUGUUGUAGUGUCUGUUGUGGUCUCGGCUGUUGUGCUGCCUGUAGUGGUGCUUUCUGGUGUGGUAGUGUCUGUAGUGGUCUCGGUUGUGGUGCUUUCUAAAGUUGUAAUACCAGUGGUGGUACUUCCUGUUGUAGUGCUUUCUGUUGUUGUGGUACCUCUAGUGGUGCUUUCUGCUGUUGUAGUGCCUGUGGUCGUGCUUUCUGUUGUUGUAGUGUCUGUUGUGGUGCUUUCUACAGUUGUGAUUUCCGUUGUUGUACUUUCUGAAUGUAUAAUGCCAGGGGUGGUACUUUCUUUUGUUGUGGUCUCUGUUGUGGUCUCGGUUGUUGUGCUUUCUGGUGUUGUGGUACCUGUAGUGGUACUUUCUGGCAUUGUAGUGUCUGUUUUGGUCUCGGUUGUGGUGCUUUCUGGUGUUGUGGUACCUGUGGUGGUGCUUUCUGUUGUUGUAGUGUCUGUUGUGCUCUUGGUUGUUGCUCUUUCUGUUGUUGUGGUACCUGUGGUGGUGCUUUCUGUUGUUAUAGUGUCUGUUGUUUUCUCAGCUGUUGUGGUACCUGUGGUGGUGCUUUCUGGUGUUGUAGUGUCUGUAGUGGUCUCGGUUGUGGUGCUUUCUGAAGUUGUUAUAGCAGUGGUGGUACUUUCUGUUGUAGUGCUUUCUGUUGUUGUGGUUUCGGUUGUUGUGCUUUCUGGUGUUGUGGUAGCUGUAGUAGUACUUUCUGGAGUUGUGGUUUCUUCUGUUGUUGUGGUAUCCGUUGUGGUGCUUUCUUUUGUGGUAAUUUCUGUUGUUGUCUCGGUUGUUGUGGUACCCGCUGUGGUGCUUUCUGUUGUCUCAGUUGUUGUGCUUUCUGGAGUUGUGGUACCCGUUGUGGUGCUUUCUGUUGUUGUGGUCUCGGUUGUUGUGCUUUUCGGUGUUGUAGUACCUGUGGUAUUGCUUUCUGGUGUUGUAGUGUCUGUUGUGGUCUCGGUUGUGGUGCUUUCAGGUGUUGUGGUACCUGUAGUGGCACUUUCUGGUGUUGUGGUACCUCUGGUGGUGCUUUCUGUUGUUGUGAUCCCUGUUGUGGUCUCGGUUGUUGUGCUUUCUGGUGUUAUGGUACCUGUAGUGGUACUUUCUGGUGUUGUAGUGUCUGUUGUUGUCUCGGUUGUGGUGCUUUCUGGUGUUGUAGUGUCUGUUGUUAUCUCGGUUGUGGUGCUUUCUGGUGUUGUAGUGUCUGUUGUGGUCUCUGCUAUUGUGGUACCUGUAGUGGUGCUUUCUGGUGUUGUAGUGUCUUUUGUGGUCUCGGUUGUUGUGGUACCUGUGGUGGUGGUUUCUGUUGUUGUAGUGUCUGUUGUUGUCUCGGUUGUGGUGCUUUCUUGUUUUGUGGUUCCUGUGGUGGUGCUUUCUGGUGUUGUAGUGUCUGUUGUUAUCUCGGUUGUGAUGCUUUCUGGUGUUGUAGUGUCUGUUGUGGUUUCUGCUGUUGUGGUACCUGUAGUGGUGCUUUCUGGUGUUGUAGUACCUGUGGUGGUGCUUUCUGUUGUUGUAGUUUCUGUUGUUGUCUCGGCUGUUGUGUUUUCUGGUGCUGUGGUACCUGUAGUGGUGCUUUCUGGUGUUGUAGUGUCUGUUGUUGUCUCGGUUGUGGUGAUUUCUGAUGUUGUCGUACCUGUGGUGGUGCUUUCUGGUGUUGUGGUCUCUGUUGUGGUCUCGGUUGUUGUGAUUUCUGUUGUUGUGGUACCUGUAGUGGUGCUUUCUGCUGUUGUAGUGCCUGUGGUCAUGCUUUCUGUUGUUGUGGUACCUGUAGUGGUGCUUUCUGGUGUUGUAGUGUCUGCAGUGGUGUCGGUUGUGGUGCUUUCUGAAGUUGUAAUGGUAGUGGUGGUACUUUCUGUUGUAGGGCUUUCUGUUGUUGUGGUCUCGGUUGUUGUGCUGGGUGUGGAACUUUCUGUUGUUGUGGUCUCCAUCGUUGUACUUCCUGGAGUGGUCGGUCCAGUGGUUGUAAUUUCUGUCAUUGUGGUGAAUGAAUACUGGUAUCAGUAUAUAAAAUAAUAAUAAUAAUUAAAAAGACUUCACUUGUUUUUUGAAAAUCUGAAAGAUUGAAACCUAAUUUAAAUUGGUUGACAGUUCCAAAUGUUGGCUAAAUGAAGCAGCAAAGAUUGAUUGGUUGACAGUUCCAAAUGUUGGCUAAACGAAGCAGCAAAGAUUGACCUUGAAUUUUUUUUUUUAUUUUUUUUUGCAUAGUUUUCCAAAAGACCUGCACUAGAACAUUUUAAAUUAUGAUUUGGAAUAUAAUAACAUAAAAAUCAAUCUUUUCUCG